CCCCCCUUGAAUUUUCCAGCAUAAGCUCCACGUUUGAAUUUAUUAUAUCAGUAAAUUCUUAAAAACGUCCAAAUUUAUUAACAUAGUGAAUUCGCGACAAUCCCUAUCCCUAAACCCCUAACGUUGCCUAACCUCCUACCCGACCUUUUUUUCAAAAAGAAAAUUUCCUUCAAAAUGGAAGCACUGAAGAGAAAACGCGUGUAAAAAUCUUGUAAUGCAUUGUGGUACACACGCGUUUUCUCUUCC